rnacentral:rRNA from 1 species
GCAAGUCGAACGGUAACAGGAAGCAGCUUGCUGCUUCGCUGACGAGUGGCGGACGGGUGAGUAAUGUCUGGGAAACUGCCUGAUGGAGGGGGAUAACUACUGGAAACGGUAGCUAAUACCGCAUAACGUCGCAAGACCAAAGAGGGGGACCUUCGGGCCUCUUGCCAUCAGAUGUGCCCAGAUGGGAUUAGCUAGUAGGUGGGGUAACGGCUCACCUAGGCGACGAUCCCUAGCUGGUCUGAGAGGAUGACCAGCCACACUGGAACUGAGACACGGUCCAGACUCCUACGGGAGGCAGCAGUGGGGAAUAUUGCACAAUGGGCGCAAGCCUGAUGCAGCCAUGCCGCGUGUAUGAAGAAGGCCUUCGGGUUGUAAAGUACUUUCAGCGGGGAGGAAGGCGAUGCGGUUAAUAACCGCGUCGAUUGACGUUACCCGCAGAAGAAGCACCGGCUAACUCCGUGCCAGCAGCCGCGGUAAUACGGAGGGUGCAAGCGUUAAUCGGAAUUACUGGGCGUAAAGCGCACGCAGGCGGUCUGUCAAGUCGGAUGUGAAAUCCCCGGGCUCAACCUGGGAACUGCAUCCGAAACUGGCAGGCUUGAGUCUCGU